rnacentral:rRNA from 1 species
GACGAACGCUGGCGGCGUGCUUAACACAUGCCAGUCGAACGGAAAGGCCCUGCUUUUGUGGGGUGCUCGAGUGGCGAACGGGUGAGUAACACGUGAGUAACCUGCCCUUGACUUUGGGAUAACUUCAGGAAACUGGGGCUAAUACCGGAUAGGAGCUCCUGCUGCAUGGUGGGGGUUGGAAAGUUUCGGCGGUUGGGGUUGGACUCGCGGCUUAUCAGCUUGUUGGUGGGGUAGUGGCUUACCAAGGCUUGGACGGGUAGCCGGCCUGGGAGGGAGACCGGCCACAGAGGACUAGGGGACGGACCAGGAUGCAAUCGGGGGCAAGCGGUGGGAAAUUUAGCCAGAGGGCGGAAGCCUGAUGCAGCAGCGCCGCGUGCGGGAUGACGGCCUUCGGGUUGUAAACCGCUUUCGCCUGUGACGAAGCGUGAGUGACGGUAAUGAGUAAAGAAGCACCGGCUAACUACGUG